AUGCAUUAUUAUCACUACUACAUGUGGAGGAGAAGAUUGCUUGCUGCCAUUAUUGUGUGUUUAGGGAUGUACUGGUACAAGAUUAAUGUCCGAAAAAGGAAGAGAAAAUCUAUAACUUAUGCUCCCAUGUUCGAACGAGAUGUUGAAAGGAUGUCACGCCUGAACCGUAUGUAUUAUGGAACUGAGGCUAAUUGCAUAAGUGAGCCGCGCAUGCGGAAAUUUGUUUUUCACAAAUUGUGUGCCAACCUGAGACGUCGUGGUCUACUGGUAGACACAUUCCAUGUAACUGUGGAGGAGCAAGUUGCCAUGUUCAUCCAUGUUGUGGGUCAUAACUGGAAAAAUAGAUCGAUUGGUUUCGAGUUUUAUCGAUCGGGCGAGACUGUUAGUAGGUACUUCAAUGCUGUUUUAGAUGCCCUGUGUCUCCUUGCUCGUGAUGUCAUAUGCAUCAGAACCAUCGAAACACAUUCGAAGAUAACAAGUAGCUCCAGAUUUCACCCUUACUUUGAGGGAUGCAUAGGAGCUCUGGAUGGUACUCAUAUACCGGCAUGUGUGCCAAUCCACAUGCAAGAUAGGUUUAGGGGUAGAAAGUCCUUUCCCACACAAAAUGUGCUAGCAGCCGUUGAUUUUGACCUAAGAUUUACAUAUGUUCUUGCUGGAUGGGAGGGAUCGGCUCAUGAUUCUUAUGUGCUCCAAGAUGCCCUAUCACGUCCCAAUGGCCUUAAAAUACCAGAAGGUAAAUAUUUCCUAGCGGAUGCGGGAUAUGCUGCAAGACCCGGUAUACUACCCCCAUAUCGUGGUGUCCGAUAUCACCUAAAGGAAUAUAGGGGAAGUAGAGAGCCUGAGAACCCAAGGGAGUUAUUCAGCCAUCGCCAUUCCUCACUUAGAACAACCGUCGAAAGAGCAUUUGGUACCUUGAAGAAUCGAUUUAAAAUAUUUGCAAGUCAGCCAUUCUUCCCUCUAAAAACACAAGUAAAAAUUGUGUUUGCUUGUUGUGCGCUCCAUAACUGGAUCCUAGAUGAUGGUCCUGAUGAGUAUGUCUAUGAUGAUGCUACUUGGUACUCGGCCCUUCCACGGAGUAGACGACACCGUCGUGACGUCUACCAGGAGAGCCAGGCAUGGGCACACAAAAGGGAUGUACUAGCUCAAAAAAUGUGGGAGGAUAAUUUAGCAGCUCAAGAUCAAGAUGAUUAA
rnacentral:rRNA from 1 species